UUAUAAUCCAGGGACUGGGCUCCGCACGCUCGUAGCGCCCUUGGAGCUUUGGAAGUGGGUGUGAGGCUUGAGGAAAAGGGUGUGAAGGGGAGCACGUUGGGGAGGACAGGGAAGAACGGAAGAAAUGGGGGAGCAAGUCGUGGAGGAGACUGGAGGGAAGAUGGACCGAGAAGGAAGCCGCCUGAGGAGGUCCCGCCUGUCGUAGCCGCCUGCCCUGAGAGGAGGGGGGAGGGAGGGAGACUUACAGGAUGGUGACACAGAGGUGGCAUUCCCCGCUGUAGGUGACCUGGUCGCUGCCACAGACGGGCUCGCUUGGCUUGAUGUAGGAGAGGAACCAGCACUGGUUGAUAUUGUUGAUGCAAACGGCCUGGAGGUGAGAGCCAGACACGUGUGGGUGCCUGCACCCAGGUCCUUCGACCGUUCUCACUGCCACUGGGGGAAGGAGUGUCAACCCCGACGGUGGCUGUUAGUGAUGGGGGGGGGGGGUGUAAUCUGAUAGAUAGAAUAAUCCUAUUAUUUUAAAAUCUUAGAACACAUAUACUUAUAUGUACUUAUGUGAAUAGGGGAUUCAGUUUCUUAUACGUGAAUAGGGGGUUAAGUUUUUCUUGUUUCCUUUCCAAGGCCUGUGCCAAGCGAUGGAGGAGGUGACUCAGCUGUGACUCCAGCAAGUAGAACUGAUAAGCACGGUCAGACCGACCCAUCAGGAGUCAAAACAUCAUCUCAUGCCUGGUGGCUAAGGACAACAGCUGCCGGCUGCCCGCCUCUAGGCCUGCACGGAGCUGCAUUCCGUCCCCAGCCUCGCCCCGCCCCCUCCCCUUACAGUCCUGUCCCUGCACCUGCUGGGAGAGGGGAUCUGAACGCCCGUCAGCGCCCUGCCUUCUUGGUUGGCAGGCCUCCUCAGUAAACGCCUUCUACGGUGACGGCAGCCUGAGCCCCCCCCUCCCCCGGGCGCUUCCCGGUCACAUCAGGUCACGGAGGGAAAGUGUCCCUCAAGGUUAGGCUUUCCUAAGAGUGACGCGUGUGUGGCUGCGACAGGCAGCAGUGGCUCACACGGGCGGGCGCAGUGGCGUUAGGAUGUUGCCGGAAAGGGACAGUGACUGCAUGCGGGGCCCUGCUGUGCGGGAGGCAGGAUGUGAGCCUCGCGCAUCCCAGCUGAUUUCAGCCAUGACGCCGUCACCCAGCGAAUGACGCGUCACGCUGCCUUCUAGCCCGCCAGAGAGUGUAUGAAGCGACUGGGCUAAGGAAUGGGAAGAGGGCUCAGGGACACGGAAAACGCGCCACCCACAGGCGACGACGCAGCUCUUAUGGGGCCGUGAUUCCCACGCCAGCCCCCUCCGGCCCCCAACUCCCAGCGGUCAGGGCUGGGGGCACGGGGCUCCUCCCAUUGCUGGUCCCCGGAGGCCAGGAGGCAGGCUCACCUUUGUCUCUUGGACGCUCGCCCCUUCACCGGUGGGAACAAGGAAGUCUGGAAGACAAAACAGCUUCAGAAAGUCCCUCUCGGCCUCCGCCCCAGGGAAGAGCACGGAGAGGGACCUGGCUGGCCGCCAGGAGCUCUGAUCCCUCAGAUGAGGCUGCCCUUGCCCUGAGGGUGCCCCGAGGGGGGAGACCUGGGGAGCACCGCCUUCGCCCGCAUGCAUGUGAGAGGAGACCUCCGGUAUACUUGGAUCUUGUUCUUAAAAUUUUAGUCAAAUGAUUUCUACCUUUUGGACUGGGUUGUGGAAUUCAUUCACAUAAAGUUUUAUGAUGUAGUUAGAUUUGAUCUGGCAUUUUACUUUUUUUAACAAAUAUGGAACGCUUCAGGAAUUUGCGUGUCAUCCUUGCGCAGGGGCCAUGCUAAUCUUCUCUGUAUCGUUCCAAUUUUAGUAAAUGUGCUGUCGGAGCCAGCUCUGGCAUUUUACUUUUUGUUGUCGGUAUGUCUCAUCUCUUCUUGCUUCCCUGUUCCUCUUUUGCUGCAUUAAGAGAAUAUAAUCGAGUGUAACAUUGUAAUUCCCAUAAUUUUUCACUAUUUCUCAGAAUAUAUAUAUUUU